UCUCUUUUUUUUUUUUUUUUCUCUCUCUAUAUGGCUUCAAGGUAAUAUGGACAUCGAUGAUUCCCGAUUUUUGAAGGUUUCUACUCAAUAUUUUCUGUGUAUGCUGUGCUUUAUUCUCCUGAUUUCGUUGGUACAUUGUAGAGUUUGCGCUACCAUGUGCAGAUGAUUGUGCGAAAAUUUGAGUUCUAAUUCUGGUGUUUUAGAGUUUAGAUUUCAAGCUUGCUUGAUGUUCAUAUUACUUGAACUCGAGAACUUACUGCUCUUACCACUGAGCUAAAAGCCCAUUGGUGUGUAAGCAUUUUUUUUUUAUUGUAUGUGUUGU
rnacentral:misc_RNA from 1 species